rnacentral:rRNA from 1 species
AUUGAACGCUGGCGGCAUGCCUUACACAUGCAAGUCGAACGGUAACAGGUCUUCGGAUGCUGACGAGUGGCGAACGGGUGAGUAAUACAUCGGAACGUGCCCGAUCGUGGGGGAUAACGAAGCGAAAGCUUUGCUAAUACCGCAUAAGAUCUACGGGUGAAAGCAGGGGACCGCAAGGCCUUGCGCGAACGGAGCGGCCGAUGGCAGAUUAGGUAGUGGGUGGGAUAAAAGCUUACCAAGCCGACAAUCUGUAGCUGGUCUGAGAGGACGACCUGCCACACGGGGACUAGGACACGGCCCAGACUCCUAGGGAAGGAAGCAGUGGGGAAGUUUGGACAAUGGGCGAAAGCCUGAUCCAGCCAUGCCGCGUGCAGGAUGAAGGCCUUCGGGUUGUAAACUGCUUUUGUACGGAACGAAAGUACUAUUUCUAAUAAAGAGAGUCCAUGACGUUACCGUAAGAAGAAGCACCGGCUAACUACGUGCCAGCCGCCGCGGUAACAC